CAUGAAAUAAAAAGAAAACCCUACACUCACCAUGUCUAAAUAUGAUCUUUUCCAGCAAUUUUUCAUAGGGAGAGAUUUUUGUUCUUGGUAUUCAUGUCCAUAAGCACAAACCCAUCACGCAUAGCUACUUGAGCUAGAGAGAGAGAGAGAGAGAG